GACGAACGCUGGCGGCGUGCUUAACACAUGCAAGUCGAACGAAGAGCGAUGGAAGCUUGCUUCUAUCAAUCUUAGUGGCGAACGGGUGAGUAACGCGUAAUCAACCUGCCCUUCAGAGGGGGAUAACAGUUGGAAACGACUGCUAAUACCGCAUACGAUCUAAUCUCGGCAUCGAGGAUAGAUGAAAGGUGGCCUCUACAUGUAAGCUAUAACUGAAGGAGGGGAUUGCGUCUGAUUAGCUAGUUGGAGGGGUAACGGCCCACCAAGGCGAUGAUCAGUAGCCGGUCUGAGAGGAUGAACGGCCACAUUGGGACUGAGACACGGCCCAGACUCCUACGGGAGGCAGCAGUGGGGAAUCUUCCGCAAUGGACGAAAGUCUGACGGAGCAACGCCGCGUGAGUGAUGACGGCCUUCGGGUUGUAAAGCUCUGUUAAUCGGGACGAAAGGCCUUCUUGCGAAUAGUGAGAAGGAUUGACGGUACCGGAAUAGAAAGCCACGGCUAACUACGUG
rnacentral:rRNA from 1 species